rnacentral:rRNA from 1 species
UACAGAGGUCUCGAGCGUUAGGCGGAAUCACUGGGCUUAAAGCGUGUGUAGGCGGAUGCCUAAGUACCUUGUGAAAUCCCACGGCUUAACCGUGGAACUGCUUGGUAUACUGGGUGUCUUGAGCCACUCAGGGGCGAGCGGAACAAAUGGUGGAGCGGUGAAAUGCGUAGAUAUCAGGAGGAACACCGGUGGCGAAGGCGGAUCUCUGGGCCUUACCUGACGCUGAGGCGCGAAAGCUAGGGGAGCGAACAGG